rnacentral:rRNA from 1 species
GGCUACCACAUCUAAGGAAGGCAGCAGGCGCGUAAAUUACCCAAUCCUGACUCAGGGAGGUAGUGACAAGAAAUAACAGACCGGAGCCUCUGGUUCCGGGAUUGCAAUGAGUACAAUUUAAACUCCUUAACAAGUAACAAUUGGAGGGCAAGUCUGGUGCCAGCAGCCGCGGUAAUUCCAGCUCCAAUAGCGUAUAUUAAAGUUGUUGCAGUUAAAAAGCUCGUAGUUGGAUUUCUGGGAAAGUGCCGGUGUCGGCUGAUGCUUGUACGCAGGCGCUCUUACAUCCUUCUGUUAACUGUUCUUGGCAUUUUAUUGCUGGGUCAGGGCUCAGAUAUUUUACCUUGAGAAAAUUAAAGUGUUUCGGGCAGGCUUAUGCCGGAAUACAUUAACAUGGAAUAAUGGAACAGGACCUGUGCGUCUCUCGGGGCGCCGGUCUCCGUUGUUGGUUUCGGGGACUAAUGUAAUGAUUAAUAGGGAUAGUUGGGGGCAUUAGUAUUUAAUAGUCAGAGGUGAAAUUCUCGGAUUUGUUAAAGACUAACUUAUGCGAAAGCAUUUGCCAAGGAUGUUUUCAUUAAUCA